GAGUUUCUUGUCCUUAACCAAAGAGACACAUUUUGGGGUGGCCAAUUCUGAUCCCCCACAGGGCCAAGUGGAAAAUGUCAGGGAGAAGAACUAUGUCCAAAUAUUGGCUCAGUUACCUGCUGUGUGAUCUUGGGCAAGUCACUUCACCUCUCUGACUCUGCCUUUCUUCAGCUGUAAAGUGAAAGGCCUACGUUUCAGCCCAGGACCUGCCUGCCACCCUGUAGACUAGUUAAUGUGUGUUAUUGGAAGGAAGGAAGGAAAGGGAGUAUUUAUUGUGCUCCCACCACGUGCCAGGUCCUGUGGGGGACACUGGGUACACUGUGGUAAACAGGCAGGCAGUCGCUGCUUUCCUGGAGAUUUUUCUCGAAGGGCUGCGGAAGUGGUUAACGGCAGCAGGAGGUUGAGUAACUGGGGCUUUGUAACUGCGGGCAGGAUUUCUCCUGAGCCGCUGGCCGUCAGCCAGGGAGGAGGGGGAGACACCCCAUCAUGACAGAGGAGCAAAGGAGACGCCCUCGUUCACUCAGCUGUAAGCAGUCGGAGCCUGGAUUCCAACCCAGGGUCUGCUUUUACAGGCCGCCCGGGUCCUCUCUUGAGUCCCCAGCACUUUAGCAGCUGAAGGAAGCUCGAGAAAGCAAGACGGGGGGCCUUCGAGAAGGCAGGUGGCAGGGGAGGCCUUUAUAGGCCCCACCCACUCGGCCCUCGGCAGCGCCCCACCCUCGGGAGUGCCCCUGGGCAGGGCCAGCCUGGCUGGGCCUCUCUCCUCCCAGGUCUGCAGGAUGGAUGACUGAGCAGAGGCACCCCAGUCUUUCUAUUCCAGACCAAACUCUCGGCCCCACCAGCGCUUCUCAAGCCACCCCAACCCCUAACUGUGAGAGGAGCUGGUGGGACCCGGAGCGGUGAUGAAGAUGAGCUCUUACAGCUGAAUGGCUCUUUACGACCUGCAAAGGCCCUGUCUACCUAAUCUGAUUUGAGCCUCGCACAAACCCAGAAGCCGCAGUCUUUAUCAUCCCCUUCAAAGCCGAAGGAACCAAGGCACUGAGUGCAGAAGCCCCUUCUCCAGAUUCCUCCGUCACGGGAGCAACCGAGGACGCCAACCUUGGUCUUUGGGUCCCUGUUCAGUGCUCUUUACCUCCCUCUCGAAAGAAUACAUUCGCAAGCAUCCGGCGCCAUCCAUCUUGCUGUCUUAUACCCGCAUCCUGACAAUAAAAAUAAUGACAACAGCUGUU